UGGCUUGGAAAAAUCAAACACUCCUUCCAGAAAAUACUCGCCUAGAGUCUACAGCUACAAGCCAGUGAGAAAUUUGUUACCCACACUUGGAAGCAUAGAGCCAAAGUUGUUCUACCUACAGUAAACAAAUCAAGUUUUUGAGGUGAAAUUCAUGAGAUAAUGUUGGGAUGCUUUUAUUCACAAAAGGAAGCAGAUGAAACAAAGAGAAGCAUA
rnacentral:misc_RNA from 1 species